rnacentral:rRNA from 1 species
UGGCGAACGGGUGAGUAACACGUGAGUAACCUGCCCCUGACUCUGGGAUAAGCGUUGGAAACGACGUCUAAUACUGGAUAUGACUACCGGUCGCAUGGCCUGGUGGUGGAAAGAUUUUUUGGUUGGGGAUGGACUCGCGGCCUAUCAGCUUGUUGGUGAGGUAAUGGCUCACCAAGGCGACGACGGGUAGCCGGCCUGAGAGGGUGACCGGCCACACUGGGACUGAGACACGGCCCAGACUCCUACGGGAGGCAGCAGUGGGGAAUAUUGCACAAUGGGCGAAAGCCUGAUGCAGCAACGCCGCGUGAGGGAUGACGGCCUUCGGGUUGUAAACCUCUUUUAGUAGGGAAGAAGCGAAAGUGACGGUACCUGCAGAAAAAGCACCGGCUAACUACGUGCCAGCAGCCGCGGUAAUACGUAGGGUGCAAGCGUUGUCCGGAAUUAUUGGGCGUAAAGAGCUCGUAGGCGGUUUGUCGCGUCUGCUGUGAAAUCCCGAGGCUCAACCUCGGGCUUGCAGUGGGUACGGGCAGACUAGAGUGCGGUAGGGGAGAUUGGAAUUCCUGGUGUAGCGGUGGAAUGCGCAGAUAUCAGGAGGAACACCGAUGGCGAAGGCAGAUCUCUGGGCCGUAACUGACGCUGAGGAGCGAAAGCAUGGGGAGCRAACAGGAUUAGAUACCCUGGUAGUCCAUGCCGUAAACGUUGGGCGCUAGAUGUAGGGACCUUUCCACGGUUUCUGUGUCGUAGCUAACGCAUUAAGCGCCCCGCCUGGGGAGUACGGCCGCAAGGCUAAAACUCAAAGGAAUUGACGGGGGCCCGCACAAGCGGCGGAGCAUGCGGAUUAAUUCGAUGCAACGCGAAGAACCUUACCAAGGCUUGACAUACACCGGAAACGGCCAGAGAUGGUCGCCCCCUUGUGGUCGGUGUACAGGUGGUGCAUGGUUGUCGUCAGCUCGUGUCGUGAGAUGUUGGGUUAAGUCCCGCAACGAGCGCAACCCUCGUUCUAUGUUGCCAGCGGGUUAUGCCGGGGACUCAUAGGAGACUGCCGGGGUCAACUCGGAGGAAGGUGGGGAUGACGUCAAAUCAUCAUGCCCCUUAUGUCUUGGGCUUCACGCAUGCUACAAUGGCCGGUACAAAGGGCUGCGAUACCGUAAGGUGGAGCGAAUCCCAAAAAGCCGGUCUCAGUUCGGAUUGAGGUCUGCAACUCGACCUCAUGAAGUCGGAGUCGCUAGUAAUCGCAGAUCAGCAACGCUGCGGUGAAUACGUUCCCGGGCCUUGUACACACCGCCCGUCAAGUCAUGAAAGUCGGUAACACCCGAAGCCGG